rnacentral:antisense_RNA from 1 species
AAUCGAAUACACGUAUUGCUGUGUGUAGUCUUUGCCUGUCACCUAAGACGGGCUUUUUUUUUG